rnacentral:rRNA from 1 species
AGAUUGAACGCUGGCGGCAUGCCUUACACAUGCAAGUCGAACGGCAGCGCGGGAGCAAUCCUGGCGGCGAGUGGCGAACGGGUGAGUAAUACAUCGGAACGUGCCCAAUCGUGGGGGAUAACGCAGCGAAAGCUGUGCUAAUACCGCAUACGAUCUACGGAUGAAAGCGGGGGACCUGCAAGGGCCUCGCGCGAUUGGAGCGGCUGAUGGCAGAUUAGGUAGUUGGUGGGGUAAAAGCUUACCAAGCCUGCGAUCUGUAGCUGGUCUGAGAGGACGACCAGCCACACUGGGACUGAGACACGGCCCAGACUCCUACGGGAGGCAGCAGUGGGGAAUUUUGGACAAUGGGCGCAAGCCUGAUCCAGCAAUGCCGCGUGCAGGAUGAAGGCCUUCGGGUUGUAAACUGCUUUUAUCUGUGACGAAUAUGACGGUAGCAGAUGAAUAAGGAUCGGCUAACGUCCGUG